AAUCAACGCUGGCGGCGUGCCUAACACAUGCAAGUCGAACGCGAAAAGGGGCAACCCUGAGUAGAGUGGCGUCCGGGUGAGUAACACGUGGAUAAUCUGCCUGCGGGCGGGGAAUAACUUUCCGAAAGGGGAGCUAAUACCGCAUAACACCGUAAUGGGCAUCCUGAGACGGUCAAAGAGGGGGAUCGCAAGACCUCUCGCCUGCAGAGGAGUCCGCGGCCGAUUAGCUAGUGGCGAGGUAACGGCUCACCAAGGCGGCGAUCGGUAGCCGGCCUGAGAGGGCGAACGGCCACACUGGCACUGAAAUACGGGCCAGACUCCUACGGGAGGCAGCAGUGGGGAAUUUGGGCAAUGGCCGAAAGGCUGACCCAGCAACGCCGCGUGAAGGAUGAAAUC
rnacentral:rRNA from 1 species